AAUGUAGGAGCCAUACAUUUUUCGCCCUGGGAAAUUUCCGUGUUCGACAAAAUGAGGCGAAAACCGCUGAUGCCUUAACGGUGCACGGGGCUGACUUUUUGUGGUUUCGGUUCGACCUGUGUCAAGUGACCUAGGGGGCUCACAGAAGGAUUUAGUCUCUAAAAAUUCGGUAAAAAUAAGCUAUGCUAAAUACGUUGCACAGUUCUGAUCGCAGAUUCUGCCUAGGCUCGGAUCAAUACUGCCAAAGCCAUUUUUCCACGUACAACGCUGUAUUUAAAAUCUAGAAUCCAAGUUUACUGCAAAGAUGAAUUCUGUGAGGGUACAAUAUAGUGCUUCGAAAUUGAUCAACGGCGUUGUGAUGAAAACGAAGUAAUAGGUUCACGCUUAAGGGCUUCUCCUACUGGAAAUUCCAUCGAUUUCUAGGCAAGUAGGUUCGAAUCUUUGACGAAGCGCAUCUAUUUCGUAUCCCCGCACUGGUUGCUGCUGCGUCAAACUAGACAGAGCGUAGCACCGAAGCGUCGCCAAAAACAGACACUCGUAUGUGGAUACCCCACGACUACAGCAAAAUGAGUGAUGGCUCGAUAUGUCAGACAGGACCCCAGCGAACUGACACUUCAUCGAAAACACCCUUCGCGAUGGCAAAGCUUUUUGCGCGCUUUGAAUGGGGCUCUUCGGCCAGGAAGUCGCGUGCCACAGAGGAUUGUUACGUCAACAUCUUCAACCAGUUGCGAUAGCACGCCGACUAAGACAUCUUUGAUAACGGCCCAUUCAACUUCUCCGAUAUCGGAUACAUCGAAGCCGAUUUUGCUGCGAACCGCUUCAAUGCCAGGAGUUCACGGUCAACGAGUGUUACCAAAGGGCAAGGAAAUUGAAAGUCGUUCAUCUAGUACUAUUCAGACCACAACGUCGUUCAUAAACAUGUCCUAUGGUUGCAGGAGCACCAACCCACAACAGCUAAGCGAGCGAACCGCUCCUAUGACUCCAGUGGCAACAUCGAAAGCUACAGUUCCUCAAUUUCCACCCCCUUUAGCAACUCUUUCGUCAGUCCCAUCCUCACCACCUCCCCCACCGCCUCCGAUGCCAAUAGCAUGCGGGGCCUUUCUUCCUGUACAGAAGACGGCAUGCAGUCGUUCGGAAGUAGCGUUUGCAACGUUACCGAAACCCAGCGUUAAAAUGAAGACUGUGAACUGGGACAAGAUACCCGAAAAAGAUGUAUUCGCCGGAAAUGACAAUGUAUGGAAAGAAGUCUUUGAGGACCCCGCCAUGCUGGUUGGAUUAGAGGGGGUCGACUGGAAGCAGCUUGAACAGCUGUUUGCACUAGCACCUAAAAAAAACAUCAGAAAGGAUCUAGCUAACACGAAAUCUACCUUACAGAAGAUUUCACUACUAGACGGUAGACGAGCGCUACAUGUCAGCUUAGGACUACACCGUUUGAAGAUGCCCAGUCAAGAGGUUAUUGCAUGUCUAGAAGACUGCGACAGUGCCCGUUUGGGAGGUGAGCGCCUACAGAUUCUUAAUCGAAUCCUUCCCAAGGAGGAGGAGAUUGCAAAAAUGAAAACAUUCUCUGGAGAUGUGUCUUCGCUUCCGGCGUGUGAUCGAUUUCUUCUGGAACUUCUACGCCUUCCUAAGGUAUCGAACCUUGUGGAAGCUCUUCUUCUGAAGGAGGAUUUUAAGCCCCUGGCGAAGUCGUUUGAGUCGUCUCUUUCUAACUUCGUUCAAGUUUGUAACGCCAUAUUGAAUUCUACCUCCCUGAAAAGCUUCUUCAGACGCGUAUUGACUAUUGGAAACUACAUCAAUUCGGGAAGUUACGUUGGUAAUGCAGCUGGGUUUCGCCUAAAAGAUCUAUGCAAACUAGUGGAGCUGCGUACCUGCAAUCGAAAAAGUGAAAACGAAGAUCAAUUGAGCCUGCUAGAUUUUGUUGUGACAACUGCCGUGGACAAAGAUCCAAAAGCGUUGUAUUUUGUCGAAGAGAUGGUCGGUAUCGAACAGGCUUGUCGACUAGACCUAGAGUAUAUGAAAGUGACAGUUUCAGAAUUUGAAUCCAGUGUAGCAAAGCUCAAGAUCUUGAUUUCCGAGAAAAUGCUGCCGUCUCUCGAAGAAAAGCUAGGACAAUUUUCAAGCGAAGCUGAUGAAGACAUACGUAAGUUACACAAAUACAUGGACGAAAUUGAUAAACUUUCUUUAAAAAUGGCCCGGUGGUUUUGCGAAAAUCCAAAGACUUUUAAGGUGUCUGAAUGCCUAAAUCUAUUCCAUAAGCUCUGUCAAGAUGUCACAACAGCCAAGCAGAUCAAACGGAAGGAGUGUUCACGUUGAACGGUGAUUCUAGCGCUUUUGCCAGAAGCCGAACCUAAGACCUUCCGAGAGUUCCGAAAAUGAUGCGCGUGCUUUCAUCAUUUACAUUAUGAGUAAUAGAUUCAUAUUCGACUGUUUUCAGGUAAAACGCGUGCCAGCGCACCAGCUUGACGGUGCUUAGGGUAAUUUCGCGCGAUCUUCGUUACCAUACGCUCGCUUGCGACUACAGAAAGCUGAACGCCGGUGCAAACGCAAAACACCGUACCUUUACUGAAAACAGAUGACGAGGGACAUCCUGACGAUUUUGUUAUGUAUGGUCCGCUGUUCGUACAUCAAGAGAUUACACUUGGAUUCAUUGUCGUUGUUUUACUGUAGCAGUGGUAGUCAAGAACUCUAUUGAUCGCUAUGGUACAUAUUCGCUAUUGUUUAUAAACUCAUACUUAGCCAAUAUUAGACGGUUUAUAAACUUACACUUAGUCAAUAUUAGACGGGUUAACCGACUCUUGUUUUAACAUCGAAUAACUGAUCCCCUACCCUGUCACAGACAUAUCGCUUAGAACGUAAUGCAGCUUAAACACAGAUUUUCGCAUCGUCUUCGAUACAAUUUGCUGCUUACUCGCUAUCUAAUAGCGAUUUAUGGCAACGAUAGAAAAGGUUUUCUAUCGUUAGGUUAGGUUAAUAUUCCGCAAGAAACACGGAGUUUGAGGACGGGUUUUGGUUCAUGUCCGUUUUUCUGUCAUUGAUUAACUGAUACCUAAUUAGAUUAAGUAAAAAAUUACUUAGCCCAAUGUAAAGUAUAAAUAGGGUACACGCGAACGACUAUCCAGUUACACACAGCUCAGUAGGUUAUGAAGCAACACUGUU